rnacentral:rRNA from 1 species
AGUCGAGCGAAGCUUUUUAGUAGUUUACUACUAGAAAUGACUGAGCGGCGAACGGGUGAGUAACGCGUGAGCAAUCUACCUUAGUUACUGGGAUAGCCCGAGGAAACUCGGAUUAAUACCAGAUAUUCUUAUUUUUUCACAUGAAGUUUUAAGGAAAGGUCAGCCGAACUAAGAUGAGCUCGCGUUCUAUCAGCGAGUUGGUGGGGUAAAAGCCUACCAAGGCUACGACGGAUAGCUGGUCUGAGAGGACGAUCAGCCACACUGGGACUGAGACACGGCCCAGACUCCUACGGGAGGCUGCAGCAGGGAAUAUUGUGCAAUGAGCGAAAGCUUGACACAGCGACACCGCGUGUGGGAUGACGGUUCUAGGAUUGUAAACCACUUUCAGGAGGGAAGAAAAUGACGGUACCUCCACAAGAAGACCCGGCCAACUAUGUGCCAGCAGCCGCGGUAAUACAUAGGGGUCAAGCGUUGUCCGGAUUUAUUGGGCGUAAAGAGCUCGUAGGCGGUUCAACAAGUCGGUCGUAAAAGUUUAGGGCUCAACCCUAAAAUGUCGAUCGAUACUGUUGUGACUAGGAUACGGUAGAGGUGAAUGGAAUUCCGAGUGUAGCGGUGAAAUGCGUAGAUAUUCGGAGGAACACCAAUUGCGAAGGCAGUUCACUGGACCGUGAUCGACGCUGAGGAGCGAAAGCUAGGGGAGCAAACAGGAUUAGAUACCCUGGUAGUCCUAGCUGUAAACGAUGGAUACUAGAUGUAGGAACUGGAUUGACGGUUUCUGUAUCGUAGCUAACGCGUUAAGUAUCCCGCCUGGGGAGUACGGUCGCAAG